rnacentral:rRNA from 1 species
GGAUUAGAUACCCCACUAUGCCUAGCCCUAAAUCUAGAUGCUUCAAUCCACCAAAGCAUCCGCCCGAGAACUACGAGCAUAAACGCUUGAAACUCUAAGGACUUGGCGGUGCUCUAAACCCACCUAGAGGAGCCUGUUCUAUAAUCGAUAAUCCACGCUACACCCAACCCCCUCUUGCAAAGCAGCCUACAUACCGCCGUCGCCAGCCCACCUUCCCUGAAAGUACCACAGCCGGCACAACAGUCCCCCACUAGUAAGACAGGUCAAGGUAUAGCCCAUGAGGGGGAAGAAAUGGGCUACAUUACCUAACUUAGGUUACACGAAAGGGGACAUGAAAGCUGUCCCCGGAAGGCGGAUUUAGUAGUAAAGAGGGACAAUAGUGCUCCCUUUAAACAGGCCCUGGAGCACGUACAUACCGCCCGUCACCCUCCUCG